rnacentral:rRNA from 1 species
UACGUAGGGUGCAAGCGUUGUCCGGAUUUAUUGGGCGUAAAGAGCUCGUAGGCGGUCUGUCGCGUCGGAUGUGAAAACCCAGGGCUCAACCCUGGGCCUGCAUUCGAUACGGGCAGACUAGAGUGUGGCAGGGGAGACUGGAAUUCCUGGUGUAGCGGUGAAAUGCGCAGAUAUCAGGAGGAACACCGGUGGCGAAGGCGGGUCUCUGGGCCAAUACUGACGCUGAGGCACGAAGGCGUGGGGAGCGAACGGG